rnacentral:rRNA from 1 species
UACGUAGGGGGCGAGCGUUGUCCGGAUUCAUUGGGCGUAAAGAGCGUGUAGGCGGCCAGGUAGGUCGGUUGUGAAAACUGGAGGCUCAACCUUCAGAGGUCGACCGAAACCAUCUGGCUAGAGUCCGGGAGAGGAGAGUGGAAUUCCUGGUGUAGCGGUGAAAUGCGCAGAUAUCAGGAAGAACACCCGUGGCGAAGGCGGCUCUCUGGUACGUGACUGACGCUGAGACGCGAAAGCGUGGGGAGCAAACAGG